CUACUCUUGACAUCCAGAGAAUUCGCUAGAGAUAGCUUAGUGCCUUCGGGAACUCUGAGACAGGUGCUGCAUGGCUGUCGUCAGCUCGUGUUGUGAAAUGUUGGGUUAAGUCCCGCAACGAGCGCAACCCUUAUCCUUGUUUGCCAGCACGUAAUGGUGGGAACUCCAGGGAGACUGCCGGUGAUAAACCGGAGGAAGGUGGGGACGACGUCAAGUCAUCAUGGCCCUUACGAGUAGGGCUACACACGUGCUACAAUGGCGUAUACAGAGGGCUGCAAGCUAGCGAUAGUGAGCGAAUCCCACAAAGUACGUCGUAGUCCGGAUUGGAGUCUGCAACUCGACUCCAUGAAGUCGGAAUCGCUAGUAAUCGUGAAUCAGAAUGUCACGGUGAAUACGUUCCCGG
rnacentral:rRNA from 1 species